rnacentral:rRNA from 1 species
GACGAACGCUGGCGGCGUGCCUAAUACAUGCAAGUCGAGCGGACGGACGCUAAGCUUGCUGUUCUGAUGUUAGCGGCGGACGGGUGUGUAACGCGUGGAUAACCUACCUAUCAGAGGGGGAUCAUUUCGGGAAACCGGAGCUAAUACCGGAUAAUAUUCUGAACCGCGGGGGUCAAAGGAGAAAGACGGUCUUGCUGUCACUUAUAGAUGGAUCCGCGCUGCAUUAGCUAGUUGGUAAGGUAACGGCUUACCAAGGCAAGGAUGCAUAGCCGACGUGAGAGACUGAUAGGCGACAUUGGAACUUAAACGCGGUCCUGACUCCUACGGGAGGGACCAGUAGCGAACGGUACGCAGUGGGCGAAAACCUGACGGAGCGACGGCACGUGAGAGAUAGAAGUCUUCCGAUCGUAAUACCCUCUUAUGAGUGAUGAACAGCUUUCGACGUAGCUGUACAGAUAUUGACGGUAACGGAUCAGAAAGCCACGGCUAACUACGUG